rnacentral:rRNA from 1 species
CAGCAGCCACGGGAAUACGUAGGGUGCAAGCGUUAAUCGGAAUUACUGGGCGUAAAGCGUGCGCGGGCGGUUUGUUAAGACAGAUGUGAAAUCCCCGGGCUCAACCUGGGAACUGCAUUUGUGACUGGCAAGCUAGAGUAUGGCAGAGGGGGGUGGAAUUCCGCGUGUAGCAGUGAAAUGCGUAGAUAUGCGGAGGAACACCGAUGGCGAAGGCAGCCCCCUGGGCCAAUACUGACGCUCAUGCACGAAAGCGUGGGGAGCAAACAGGAUUAGAUACCCCCGUAGUCCCUGUCUCUUAUAC